CAUGGCCAUGGGUCUGGAGGCACACGUAGGCCAGACCAGGAAACAUAAGAGGAAGAAAUCAACAGGAAUAUCCCAGGUGGAUCCAUGGUUUAACUGCUGGAUCUGCUGUCAGUCAUAACACGAGGAGUCCUUCGAGCUUUUCAGAAAGUUCCAACUCAUGAGUGAUGGAAAG